GGAUGCUAAUACCGCAUACGUCCUACGGGAGAAAGCAGGGGAUCUUCGGACCUUGCGCUAAUAGAUGAGCCUAAGUCGGAUUAGCUAGUUGGUGGGGUAAAGGCCUACCAAGGCGACGAUCUGUAGCGGGUCUGAGAGGAUGAUCCGCCACACUGGGACUGAGACACGGCCCAGACUCCUACGGGAGGCAGCAGUGGGGAAUAUUGGACAAUGGGGGGAACCCUGAUCCAGCCAUGCCGCGUGUGUGAAGAAGGCCUUAUGGUUGUAAAGCACUUUAAGCGAGGAGGAGGCUACUUUAGUUAAUACCUAGAGAUAGUGGACG
rnacentral:rRNA from 1 species